CCCUGUACUUAUCAGAGGUGUGACCUGCUCAGUGAUCUAUAAUCCUAUUAGAUAACCUCUAAUUAAUUAGAUUUAAAAGACGCACUAUUCUGAGUGUGAUAAUGUAGCACAAUCACUUGCCAUUUAAUUGGUGGAUGGUAUGAAAGGUUAAACGAGCGUUCCCUUGUUUUUAAUGUAAUUCAAUAUAAAUUCAGAACCCCGUCAAGACGCGGUGAAAAACUGUAAGACGAAAAGACCCUAUAGAGCUUCACUAUACACUCUUUUAUAGUAUAAGUAAGAUAGUGUGGUAGUUUGGUUGGGGCGACCGCCUUUUAAAAAAAACAAAGGCCAGCAAAAUUAACCUUAUAAUUUACUGUAUAAUAUAUUUAUUUACCAGUUACUAAUGUAGGCGAUAAUGACCCAUUUUAUAAAAGCAAAUAAAAUGUUCAAGAAAUAAAAGCUACCUUAGGGAUAACAGGGUAAUUUUAUAGAGGAGAUCUUAUCCUUGAUAAAGUUUGCCACCUCGAUGUUGAAUUAAGGUAUCCUUGCGAUGCAGAAGUCGCAAAAGGUAGGUCUGUUCGACCUUUAAAAC
rnacentral:rRNA from 1 species